rnacentral:rRNA from 1 species
AUGAACGCUAGCUACAGGCUUAACACAUGCAAGUCGAGGGGCAGCAUGGUCUUAGCUUGCUAAGGCCGAUGGCGACCGGCGCACGGGUGAGUAACACGUAUCCAACCUGCCGUCUACUCUUGGACAGCCUUCUGAAAGGAAGAUUAAUACAAGAUGGCAUCAUGAGUCCGCAUGUUCACAUGAUUAAAGGUAUUCCGGUAGACGAUGGGGAUGCGUUCCAUUAGAUAGUAGGCGGGGUAACGGCCCACCUAGUCUUCGAUGGAUAGGGGUUCUGAGAGGAAGGUCCCCCACAUUGGAACUGAGACACGGUCCAAACUCCUACGGGAGGCAGCAGUGAGGAAUAUUGGUCAAUGGGCGAGAGCCUGAACCAGCCAAGUAGCGUGAAGGAUGACUGCCCUAUGGGUUGUAAACUUCUUUUAUAAAGGAAUAAAGUCGGGUAUGGAUACCCGUUUGCAUGUACUUUAUGAAUAAGGAUCGGCUAACUCCGUGCCAGCAGCCGCGGUAAUACGGAGGAUCCGAGCGUUAUCCGGAUUUAUUGGGUUUAAAGGGAGCGUAGAUGGAUAUUUAAGUCAGUUGUGAAAGUUUGCGGCUCAACCGUAAAAUUGCAGUUGAUACUGGAUAUCUUGAGUGCAGUUGAGGCAGGCGGAAUUCGUGGUGUAGCGGUGAAAUGCUUAGAUAUCACGAAGAACUCCGAUUGCGAAGGCAGCCUGCUAAGCUGCAACUGACAUUGAGGCUCGAAAGUGUGGGUAUCAAACAGGAUUAGAUACCCUGGUAGUCCACACGGUAAACGAUGAAUACUCGCUGUUUGCGAUAUACUGCAAGCGGCCAAGCGAAAGCGUUAAGUAUUCCACCUGGGGAGCACGCCGGCAACGGUGAAACUCAAAGGAAUUGACGGGGGCCCGCACAAGCGGAGGAACAUGUGGUUUAAUUCGAUGAUACGCGAGGAACCUUACCCGGGCUUAAAUUGCAGAUGAAUUACGGUGAAAGCCGUAAGCCGCAAGGCAUCUGUGAAGGUGCUGCAUGGUUGUCGUCAGCUCGUGCCGUGAGGUGUCGGCUUAAGUGCCAUAACGAGCGCAACCCUUGUUGUCAGUUACUAACAGGUUCCGCUGAGGACUCUGACAAGACUGCCAUCGUAAGAUGUGAGGAAGGUGGGGAUGACGUCAAAUCAGCACGGCCCUUACGUCCGGGGCUACACACGUGUUACAAUGGGGGGUACAGAGGGCCGCUACCACGCGAGUGGAUGCCAAUCCCCAAAACCUCUCUCAGUUCGGACUGGAGUCUGCAACCCGACUCCACGAAGCUGGAUUCGCUAGUAAUCGCGCAUCAGCCACGGCGCGGUGAAUACGUUCCCGGGCCUUGUACACACCGCCCGUCAAGCCAUGGGAGCCGGGGGUACCUGAAGUGCGUAACCGCGAGGAGCGCCCUAGGGUAAAACUGGUGACUGGGGCU